CACAGACAAACUUAAGCGCUCUGCAGAUUAUCACACUUCAUCUGAAUCUACUCUACUACUUCCUAUAAUCCUUACUAUGAUAUUUGUACUGAAGGUCAAGAAGUUCCCUAUAACCCUACUGCACACCAUCUUCCAAUGUAGUAUGCCCCUUUUAUGAAGGCUAACUCUCCAUUCUGGAGCUGCUUCAACUAAAGCUUGCCUACCUAAUUUUUUUUGUAUUCACAUCAUGGACAUUGAUACAACAGAUUUGAGUAAAUCUUGAGUGGCACCUGAUACUCUGAUUAUCUGUUUUCAGGUAAGCCAAAGUUAGCAUUGAAUGAUUCAGCCGAACAGGUUAGUGUGUCUCUGAGUUCUAGGUCUUACAGGGUACUCAAAUUCAGCAAUUUGUAAUGGAGCAGAAUACAGUGGAAGCGAGAAAAUCCGGACGAAGUUGAACAAGUAAGAUGUUCAGAGACAUGUCACAUAAAUGUUUGAAAAAGUUGAACAAGCAAAAUGCACCGUGAAAGUAUGCCGAUUUCUUACUCAUCCUAGCUCAUAACUGAAAGUACGAGUAUCACCACACUCUCUUACCUAGUCAUUGCCAGUCAAGACUAAUGUUCAAAUUAUUCAAAAAUCACAUAGGCUCGCUUGGUCAAAAGGUCCUGUGUAAAUGGUAAUUAUACGGCAUACCAGAUUUUACAAAAAAAAAGGAACAAAAUAGUACAAGAUGUUUGAUGUGACUAAAGCAAGAAUAACUACUGGGUCAGGGCUGCGGGAUAAGAAAGGUUAUGUUAAGGGCAGUGAUGGGCGCCGGUCCGCCGGCCGAAACUUUCGGCUGGUCGGCUAUCAACCGUUCGAUCACGCCAAUUGUACGUGCACGAUCUCGCGGGUCCCUCACAGAAAAAAGGGGGAAAUCCUCCCGCACAGAUCGCUUCGUCAAUCUCGUGACCCCAGUACCUGUCUAGAUCCACAGCUCGUGCCGCCGCUGGUCUUCCCUCGUCGCCGCACUCAGAAAAAUCCGCACAGCUCGCCUCGUGCCGGUCGCGGUGGUAGCUGCUACAGACGGCGGUUCCAGCAAAAAAAUGCCGCCCGCCGCCGUCGCCGGAGAUAGCUGCUCUAGUCGUCGGUUGCAGCAAAAAAAUGGCCACUGCCGUCGCCGGUGGUAGCUGCCGCUGUCGCGGUUGCAGCAAAAACGGCCGCUUUCGAGGGUUGUAGCACUGAUUUUGCCGGUUCCAGCACCAGGCUGGAUGGUUGCAGCUAAAAACACUAGGUUGGAUGGUUGCAGCUAAAAAACGGCACCGCCGCUGCCGUCACACCUUGGCCGUCGCCGAUGGUAGCAAAAACAGCUACCAGUUGUAGCAUUCGGCUGACUCCUUGUAGCAAAAACUGAUGCUGGUUCCAGCAAAAAUCAAGACGAUGGUAGCAAAAAAUAGCUACCGGUUGUAGCAUUCGGCUGGCUACUUAUAGCAAAAACUGAUGCUGGUUUCAGCAAAAAUCAACACGAUGACAGCAAUUAAGAAUGUUAGUUCCAGCAAAACAAAAAACAAAUGGUAGCAAAAAAAGGGCGCUAGUUCUAGCAAACCAACCAAAUAGACUGUGGUAGCAAAAAUUGGGGAAGGUUCCAGCAAAAAAUUCCAUGAUUCCAGCAAAAAUACCACCGUCUCCCGUCACUGAUCGCCCAGUCGCAACACCUUGAGUCUUCGGUUCCAGCAAAAUAUCACGCUGGUUGCAGCAUUUCAUUGAUCUUGCGACGGGUACUUCCAAAAAAGUGACGCCGAUUCCAGCAAAUCGUGACGCCGGGUGCAAAAGAUCCAAAAGGUCUGACUGUAGCAAAGGAACUAGCCGGUUCCAGCAAAGAAUUACGCUGGUUCCAGCACGGCUGGUUCCAGCAAAAAUCACGUCGCUGGUGAGGCGCGCUUCAGUUCCAGCACCAAUUGGUGCUGCUUCCAGCACAUCACCUCGCUGGUUGUAGCAAAACGUCAAUGGUGAUUCAAUCAAAACAAGCAAUUUGGGAGGGGUUGGAACAUAAUAAUUUGUAAAAGGAUGCAACCAUAGGCAGAAAAAGAUACAACUGGUGAUCCAAAAAGCUACAGCCGAUGGCAAUCAAAAAAUGGGUGGAUCUACACCGGCGAUAUGGUGUACCCAGGGUCGCCGGAGUUGCAAAACGGGGACCACGCCCAGCGGUGAUCUUCUGUUUUUGGGCGGCUGUGGAGGUGCUCGCAGCAACGGGGGGCCUGGAGUUGUUCUGCAGUGAAAAAGCUCACAGAACGUUGUGCGGAU
rnacentral:rRNA from 1 species